rnacentral:lncRNA from 1 species
CAGUGUUUUCAAAGGCAUGUCUAGGCACGCGUUGAGGCGCGCUUCGGAGCGAGGCAGCGGUGAUUCGCCUCAGGCGCAGCUCAGUUUAGCGAAUGUCAUGAAAGGCGUACGCCUUGAAGUCGAGGCGGCCGCUAAACGCAGAUGCGCUGUGAAAGGCGCAAGCCUCGCGAGGAAGACAGAGUUCCUUUAUUUUAAAAAUCUGAUUCCGGACGACUUCGUUUGCACUUGCUGUGUUGUUUUGUUUCCCUUUAGUUAAGCUGUGCGUUUCAGUUUUAAGUUUGAACAUUAAACACGCACCGUUUUGUUCAAAAGAAACCAGUUUACCCAUUUAUUCCUUCCCUCUCCCAAAAGCCAAAGUUCCCAAA